GAUGAACGCUGGCGGCGUGCCUAAUACAUGCAAGUCGAGCGAACGGACGAGAAGCUUGCUUCUCUGAUGUUAGCGGCGGACGGGUGAGUAACACGUGGAUAACCUACCUAUAAGACUGGGAUAACUUCGGGAAACCGGAGCUAAUACCGGAUGAUAUUUUGAACCGCAUGGUUCAAAAGUGAAAGACGGUCUUGCUGUCACUUAUAGAUGGAUCCGCGCUGCAUUAGCUAGUUGGUAAGGUAACGGCUUACCAAGGCAACGAUGCAUGGCCGACCUGAGAGGGUGAUCGGCCACACUGGAACUGAGACACGGUCCAGACUCCUACGGGAGGCAGCAGUAGGGAAUCUGCCGCAAUGGGCGAAAGCCUGACGGAGCAACGCCGCGUGAGUAAUGAAGGUCUUCGGAUCGUAAAACUCUGUUAUUAGGGAAGAACAUAUGUGUAAGUAACUGUGCACAUCUUGACGUUACCUAAUCAGAAAGCCACGGCUAACUACGUG
rnacentral:rRNA from 1 species